rnacentral:rRNA from 1 species
GUACCUUUUGCAUCAUGGUCUAACUAGUCCCCCUAAGCAAAAUGAACUUUAAGUUUAACACCCCGAAACUAGACGAGCUACUUCAAAACAGCCUUAUGGGCCAACCCAUCUCUGUUGCAAAAGAGUGGGAAGAUUUUCAAGUAGAGGUGAUAUACCUAUCGUGUCUAGAGAUAGCUGGUUAUUCAGGAAAAGGAUAUUAGUCCAAUUUUAAACCUCCCACAUAACAUUAAAUACUACCAUAGGUUUAAUAUUUAUUCAAAUAAGGUACAGCCUAUUUGAAAUAGGGCACAGCCUAAAAUAUAGGGUAAUGUUUUUAUAUGUGACUAAGUAGGCCUAAGAGCAGCCACCUUCUCAAAAGCGUUACAGCUUCACCACAUAACAUUUUAAUCCCAACUAAAACCCAAAACCCCUCACCCCUACUGAAUGACUCUAUACUUAUAUAGAAAACCCUAUGUUAGAACUAGUAAUAAGAAAUUAUUUUCUCUAAACGCAAGUGUAAGCCGGAAUGAAAAUUUCACCGGCACUUACCGCUAAUGAAUCCACAGUAAUAACAAUACAAGAAAAUCCUACUUAAUCUCGCGUUAACCUUACACUAGACUUUUACCAGAAAGAUUAAAAAAGUAGGAAGGAACUCGGCAAAUAGUAACCCCGCCU